CGCGUGAGAAUCUGCCCUUAGGACGGGGACAACAGCUGGAAACGGCUGCUAAUACCCGAUGUGCCGAGAGGUGAAACAUUUUAUGGCCUGAGGAUGAGCUCGCGUCUGAUUAGCUAGUUGGUGGGGUAAGGGCCUACCAAGGCGACGAUCAGUAGCUGGUCUGAGAGGAUGAUCAGCCACACUGGGACUGAGACACGGCCCAGACUCCUACGGGAGGCAGCAGUGGGGAAUUUUCCGCAAUGGGCGCAAGCCUGACGGAGCAAGACCGCGUGCGGGAGGACGGCCUAUUGGUUGUAAACCGCUUUUGAUAGGGAAGAAGUUCUGACGGUACCUAUCGAAUCAGCAUCGGCUAACUCCGUGCCAGCAGCCGCGGUAAUACGGAGGAUGCAAGCGUUAUCCGGAAUUAUUGGGCGUAAAGCGUCCGUAGGUGGUUGUUCAAGUCUGCUGUUAAAGCGUGCGGCUUAACCGCAUACCAGCAGUGGAAACUGGGCGACUAGAGUGCGGUAGGGGUCAGGGGAAUUCCCAGUGUAGCGGUGAAAUGCGUAGAUAUUGGGAAGAACACCGGUGGCGAAAGCGCCUGACUGGACCUGCACUGACACUGAGGGACGAAAGCUAGGGGAGCGAAAGGGAUUAGAUACCCCUGUAGUC
rnacentral:rRNA from 1 species